rnacentral:lncRNA from 1 species
UAAAUACAGGACAGCACACAUGAUUUGCAAUCAUCUUUAGGAUGAAAAUGAAAUGAAAUGAAAUAAAAAUGAAAUACACAGGAGUUGAUAAGAAAUGAAGUUGAUGCGGGCGGACCUAAGACAAAUUAAGUGGUGUGAUUUGCUGUGGCACUGGGCUCAUUUUGCAUAUUGCCAUUUGGACAGCGGAUUCGUAGAUCAAUCUCAUUGAUAAGUGAAGAUACCUUAUCAGUGUAAGUCGAGGCGACAUACAUCAAUAAGCCAGUUGUUGCCAACCGUUGAUGAGAAAUGAAGGUGACGCGGGCGGACCUAAGACAAAUUAUGUGGUGUGGUUUGCUGUGGCACUGGGCUCAUUUUGCAUAUUGCCAUUUGGACAGCGGAUUCGUAGAUCAAUCUCAUUGAUAAGUGAAGAUACCUUAUCAGUGUAAGUCGAGGCGACAUACAUCAAUAAGCCAG